rnacentral:lncRNA from 1 species
GUCAAUCAUAAGUUCACAGUUUGCACAAUAGGCUAUCAAUACUUCACACUUAUCAACAAUGACCCAAUCACCACACAUCGUCCCAUGGCUAGAGCCCUCACGGUGCCUUUCCUUUACCACGGUCCAAGUCUGUACCUGAAACCAAACACAUCACAAGCACACAAGCAUAUGAUCAUAUAACCUAACACAGGGUUCUAUCAAUGCAUAGUUUGGUUCCUAGAAUUUCCUAAUCGACAUCUAUCCAAUCAGUUCAUCAAUCAAGCGGCCAUACUCAGAUUCUCGCAAGAACCAGGCACGCCAAGACAAGGCCUCAAGCGGAUCACACCCAAGGCGAUUUAGAUCAUCCGAUCAUCCCUUGGUGUGUCCGAACAUGCCUAAGUCCGGCCAAGGGCCUAGGACUUGAUUCCAAACUGGCCAAGGGCCAAGGUUCAGUCUUUGUACAUCAGAUCAACCCAAUACAACAUAAUAUAAAGAGAGAAACACGAUUAGAAACUAGUAGUAUGAACGAAUGGAUGAUGUAUGGAUCUCAUUUACUAUCUAUGAAAUAACGAUUUGCCUUUACUUGAAUCUGAUUGUCUAUGUAUGAUUUGAUAAACCUCAAAACUCUGAUAAAUUAUAAGAAAAAUAUUACACUUGAAUUGAGAAGUAAAGGAAUCAAAUUAGAUAGAACGGUUAGGUAAGCCGCGGUCUGGUUGGAUUGAGGAAUCCAGAAUCGGGUCUUACACAAUUGACUUUGUAUACACAUUAUGCAUGGGUAAAGACACAAAACCCAUGGCCUUAACCAAACUAAACUUUCUCAACUUUUCUCGUUGUAUGAAUGAGAUCAACUGAC